rnacentral:misc_RNA from 1 species
UACCCUUGACAUGGCUGGAAUCCCCGAGAGAUUGGGGAGUGCUCGAAAGAGAACCAGUACACAGGUGCUGCAUGGCUGUCGUCAGCUCGUGUCGUGAGAUGUUGGGUUAAGUCCCGCAACGAGCGCAACCCUUGUCAUUAGUUGCUACGAAAGGGCACUCUAAUGAGACUGCCGGUGACAAACCGGAGGAAGGUGGGGAUGACGUCAAGGUACGGAC